ACAUCUACUAAUAAAAGUCAAUCUGUUCUUAUCAGUUUAAUAUCUGAUAUGUCCUCGAUGUGAGGACUUUAUAUUAAAUGGAUUUUUGGGACUGGGAGAUGGACUCGGAGCUUGCUCCAUCCACUCCAUGCAUCGGCCUGGUAUGCCAGUGCCUCCAGGAACGGUGCAGCUCCC
rnacentral:snRNA from 1 species